CGUGGCUACUGUGCCACCUGGUGGAUAGCUCGGCUCGAGUGCCGAUGAAGGACGUGCCAAGCUGCGAUAAGCUCCAGGGACCCGCACGGAGGGUAAGAACUGGAGAUUUCCGAAUGGGAAUCCCCUCGCAAUUGCUUCGCGCAAUGGGGAACGCCGGGAAUUGAAACAUCUCAGUACCGGCAGGAAGAGAAACCAAACGGGAUGUCGUUAGUAACGGCGAGUAAACGCGACACAGUCCAAACCGAAGCCUUCGGGCAAUGUGGUGUUCGGACUGACCCCCAUCAUCGGACCGUCUACAUGAAGUCUCCUGGAACGGAGCGUGAUACAGGGUGACAACCCCGUAAUGUAGACCAGUACGAUGUGAGUCAGCUCCAGAGUAUCGGGGGUUGGAUAUCCCUCGUGAAUACGGCCGGCAUUGACGGCUAAGACUAAAUACAUCUCGAGACCGAUAGCGAACAAGUAGCGUGAGCGAACGCUGAAAAGCACCCCACAACGGGAGGUGCAAUAGGGCUUGAAAUCAGGUGGCGAUCGAGCGACGGGGCAUACAAGGUCCCCCGAAAAAUGACCCAGGCGCGAGCCUGCAGUAAGAAUCGGAGGAAGCCGAUGUUCCGUCGUACGUUUUGAAAAACGAACCAGGGAGUGUGUCUGAAUGGCAAGUCUAACCUGAGUAUCAGGGAAGGCGCAGGGAAACCGACAUGGUCGCAGGGCUCUGCCCCAGGACCGCCGUGUUCAAGCGCGGGGAGUCAUUCGGACACGACCCGAAACCGGACGAUCUAUGCGUGGGCAAGGUGAAGCGUGCCGAAAGGCACGUGGAAGCCUGCUAGAGUUGGUGUCCUACAAUACCCUCUCGUGACCUACGUAUAGGGGUGAAAGGCCCAUCGAGUCCGGCAACAGCUGGUUCCAACCGAAACAUGUCGAAGCAUGACCUCUGCCGAGGUAGUUCGUGAGGUAGAGACACUGAUUGGGAGACCCAACUCCGAGAGGAGUUGGCCUCCCUGUCAAACUCCGAACUUACGAACGCCGCUGACGCAGGGAGUCCGGUGUGCGGGGUAAGCCUGUGCACCAUGAGGGAGACAACCCAGAGCCGGGUUAAGGUCCCCAAGUGUGGAUUAAGUGCGAUCGAAGGUGGUCUCGAGCCCUAAACAGCCGGGAGGUGAGCUUAGAAGCAGCUACCCUCUAAGAAAAGCGUAACAGCUUACCGGCCGAGGUUCGAGGCGCCCAAAAUGAUCGGGGCUCAAAUCCACCACCGAGACCUGGCGGCGCCAGUCACAUGGCGAUCCAGUAGGUUGGCGUUCUGUUCGGGUGGAAGCACGGGCGAGAGCUCGCGUGGACCGUCCAGUAACGAAAAUCCUGGUCAUAGUAGCAGCGUUAGUCGGGUUAGAACCCCGACGGCCGAACGAGCAAGGGUUCCUCGGCAAUGCUGAUCAGCCGAGGGUUAGCCGAUCCUAAGUCUCACCGUAAGUCGAAUGAGACAACAGGGAAACUGGUUAAUAUUCCAGUGCCAUCAUGCAGUGAAACCGACGCUUUGGGGUCGCCUGAGCCGGGCUAUCGCCCGGUCGAACCGUCAAACUCCGUGGACGCCGUAAUGGCAGGAAGCGGACGAACGGCGGGAUAGGGAAACUCAGGUCAACCUAGAGCCCGUGAAAAGGGAGCAUGAUGUUCGUACCAAGAACCGACACAGGUGCUCGUGGCGGCGAAAGCCAAGGCCUGUCGGGAGCAACCGACGUUAGGGAAUUCGGCAAGCUAGUCCCGUACGUUCGCAAUAAGGGAUGCCUGCCUCCGACGAGGCAGGUCGCAGUGACUCGGACGCUCCGACUGUCUAGUAACAACAUAGGUGACCGCAAAUCCGUAAGGACUCGUACGGUCACUGAAUCCUGCCCAGUGCGGGUAUCUGAACACCCAGUACAAUGGGGCGAAGGACCCGUUAACGGCGGGGGUAACUAUGACCCUCUUAAGGUAGCGUAGUACCUUGCCGCUUCAGUAGCGGCUUGCAUGAAUGGAUCAACGAGAGCGUCACUGUCCCAACGUUGGGCCCGGUGAACUGUACGUUCCAGUGCGGAGUCUGGAGACCCCCAAGGGGAAGCGAAGACCCUAUAGAGCUUUACUGCAGGCUGUCGCUGGGACACGGUCGCUAAUGUGCAGCAUAGGUAGGAGUCGAUACACAGGUGCGCGCGCCAGCGCGUCGCCGAGACAGCAUUGAAAUACUACCCGUUAGUGACUGUGACCCUCACUCCGGGAGGAGGACACCGGUAGCCGGGCAGUUUGACUGGGGCGGUACGCGCUUGAAAAGAUAUCGAGCGCGCCCCAAGAUUUCCUCAUCCGGGUCGGAGACCCGGAACUGAGCGCAAGAGCAUAAGGAAGUCUGACAGUGACAUUCCCAACGAGUGUCGCUGACGCGAAAGCGUGGUCUAGCGAACCAAUCAGCCUGCUUGAUGCGGGCGAUUGAUGACAGAAAAGCUACCUUAGGGAUAACAGAGUCGUCACUCGCAAGAGCACAUAUCGACCGAGUGGCUUGCUACCUCGAUGUCGGUUCCCUCCAUCCUGCCCGUGCAGAAGCGGGCAAGGGUGAGGUUGUUCGCCUAUUAAAGGAGGUCGUGAGCUGGGUUUAGACCGUCGUGAGACAGGUCGGCUGCUAUCUAUUGGGGGUGUCACGGAACCUGACGGGAACGAUCGUAUAGUACGAGAGGAACUCCGAUUGGUCACCACUGGUGUACCGGUUGUCCGAGAGGGCACGCGCCGGGCAGCCACGUGACACGGGGUAAGAGCUGAACGCAUCUAAGCUCGAAACCCACCUGGAAAAGAGGUUCCACCAUAGGUCACCCGUAGAAGACGGGUUCGAUAGACUCGGGGUGUACGCGCCAAGGCAACGAGGCGUUCAGCCCGCGAGCACUAACAGACCAACGCCACACACU
rnacentral:rRNA from 1 species